AGUGAACGCUGGCGGUAGGCCUAACACAUGCAAGUCGAACGGCAGCACAGUAAGAGCUUGCUCUUACGGGUGGCGAGUGGCGGACGGGUGAGGAAUACAUCGGAAUCUACUUUUUCGUGGGGGAUAACGUAGGGAAACUUACGCUAAUACCGCAUACGACCUACGGGUGAAAGCAGGGGAUCUUCGGACCUUGCGCGAUUGAAUGAGCCGAUGUCGGAUUAGCUAGUUGGCGGGGUAAAGGCCCACCAAGGCGACGAUCCGUAGCUGGUCUGAGAGGAUGAUCAGCCACACUGGAACUGAGACACGGUCCAGACUCCUACGGGAGGCAGCAGUGGGGAAUACUAGACAAUGGGCGCAAGCCUGAUCCAGCCAUACCGCGUGGGUGAAGAAGGCCUUCGGGUUGUAAAGCCCUUUUGUUGGGAAAGAAAAGCAGCAGGUUAAUACCCCGCUGUUCUGACGGUACCCAAAGAAUAAGCACCGGCUAACUUCGUG
rnacentral:rRNA from 1 species